rnacentral:snoRNA from 1 species
CUACAUGAUGCUAUAAUUUGCGAUUGACCUUACAUCGUGGAACUCUCGCCGGAGUAUCUAUACGAUGUUGAGGAGGUGAUAUUUCUUUCUUACAUAUUCUGACC